GUGAGUAACACGUGGGUAACCUGCCCAUAAGACUGGGAUAACUCCGGGAAACCGGGGCUAAUACCGGAUAACAUUUUGAACCGCAUGGUUCGAAAUUGAAAGGCGGCUUCGGCUGUCACUUAUGGAUGGACCCGCGUCGCAUUAGCUAGUUGGUGAGGUAACGGCUCACCAAGGCAACGAUGCGUAGCCGACCUGAGAGGGUGAUCGGCCACACUGGGACUGAGACACGGCCCAGACUCCUACGGGAGGCAGCAGUAGGGAAUCUUCCGCAAUGGACGAAAGUCUGACGGAGCAACGCCGCGUGAGUGAUGAAGGCUUUCGGGUCGUAAAACUCUGUUGUUAGGGAAGAACAAGUGCUAGUUGAAUAAGCUGGCACCUUGACGGUACCUAACCAGAAAGCCACGGCUAACUACGUGCCAGCAGCCGCGGUAAUACGUAGGUGGCAAGCGUUAUCCGGAAUUAUUGGGCGUAAAGCGCGCGCAGGUGGUUUCUUAAGUCUGAUGUGAAAGCCCACGGCUCAACCGUGGAGGGUCAUUGGAAACUGGGAGACUUGAGUGCAGAAGAGGAAAGUGGAAUUCCAUGUGUAGCGGUGAAAUGCGUAGAGAUAUGGAGGAACACCAGUGGCGAAGGCGACUUUCUGGUCUGUAACUGACACUGAGGCGCG
rnacentral:rRNA from 1 species